ACACCGGCAGCUCAAGUGGUAGCCGCUUUUAUUGGGCCUAAAGCGUCCGUAGCCGGUCUGAUAAGUCUCUGGUGAAAUCCCACAGCUUAACUGUGGGAAUUGCUGGAGAUACUAUCAUGACUCGAGGUCGGGAGAGGCUGGAGGUACUCCCCGGGUAGGGGUGAAAUCCUGUAAUCCUGGGAGGACCACCUGUGGCGAAGGCGUCCAGCUGGAACGAACCUGACGGUGAGGGACGAAAGCCAGGGGCGCGAACCGGAUUAGAUACCCGGGUAAUCCUGGCCGUAAACGAUGUGGACUUGGUGUUGGGAUGGCUUCGAGCUGCCCCAGUGCCGAAGGGAAGCUGUUAAGUCCACCGCCUGGGAAGUACGGCCGCAAGGCUGAAACUUAAAGGAAUUGGCGGGG
rnacentral:rRNA from 1 species